rnacentral:lncRNA from 1 species
AGGUGAAGCUGGGUGACUCAGGGUGACCCCGGUGACCCCGGUGAUGUCCCCGUGUCCCCAGGUGAAGCUGGGUGACUCAGGGUGACUCAGGGUGACCCCGGUGACCCUGGGUGACUCAGGGUGACCCUGGUGACCCCGAUGUCCCCGGUGACCCCGGUGAUGUCCCCGUGUCCCCAGGUGAAGCUGGAUUUCGUGGCGCCGGCGCCGGGCCAGCAGCACUACACCCUUUACUUCAUGAGCGACGCCUACAUGGGCUGUGACCAGGAGUACAAAUUCAGCGUGGACGUCAAGGAGGCCGAGAGCGACUCCGACUCCGACUGACACCCAGAUCCCGCCGAAUAACCCCAAAAACACCCAAAAAACAACCCCAGAAUCCUCCAGAAUCCCAAAAAAACCCCACAGAAUCCAAAAAAAACCCCAAAAAACCCCACAGAACCCCAAAAAACCCCACAGAAUCCCAAAAAAACCCCCAAAAAACCCCACAGAACCCCAAAAAACCCAAAAAACAACCCCAGAAUCCUCCAGAAUCCCAAAAAAUACCCCACAGAACCCCAAAAAACCCCACAGAACCCCAAAAACCCCACAGAAUCCCCCAGAACUCCAGAAAAUCCUACAGAAUGCUCCAGAAUCCCAAAAAAUCCCACAGAAUUCCCAAAAAAAACCCCAGAGUCUCGGUAAAAUCCCACCAAAAAUGGGAAAAAAACCCGCCCAGAUGCUGUGAAAUCCCACAAGAUCCCAUCAGAUCCCAUAAAAUCCCAUCGGAUCCCAUAAAAACCUUCCCAGAUCCCCUCGGAUCCCUCGGAUCCCCCGGAUCCCCCCGGAUCCCCCUCCCGCGUUCCCGUUGUGUUCCAGGGUUCGGAUGUUUUGUACAGAGUUUUUUUAGGUUGGAAUAAACUUCGAGAUCCGACUCGGCCUCGGUGCUGAUCCCAAAUUCCCCGAUCCCAAAUUCCCCGAUCCCAAAUUCCCCAAUCCCAGAUUCCCGGGUCCCAAAUUCCCAGAUCCCAAAUUCCUGGAUCCCAAACUCACGGAUCCCAAACUCCUGGAUCCCAGAUUCCCGGAUCCCAAACUCUUGGAUCUCAAACUCCCUGAUCCCAAACUCUUGGAUCCCAAAUUCCCAAAUCCCCAGAUCCCAAAUUCCCGGGAUCCCAAACUCCCAAAUCCCAGAUUCCCGGAUCCCAAAUUCCCAAACUCCCGGAUCCCAAACUCUUGGAAUCCCAAAUUCCCACACCCCAAACUCCCGGAUCCCGAAUUCCCAGAUCCCAAAUUCCUGGAUCCCAAACUCUUUGAUCCCAAACUCUUGGAAUCCCAAAUUCCCGGGAUCCCAAACUCCCUGAUCCCAAAUCCCAAAUUCCUGGAUCCCAAAUCCUAAACUCCCGGACCCCAAAUCCCAAACCCCGGAUCCCAAACCCCGGAUCCCAAACCCCCGGAUCCCAAACUCCCGGAUCCCAAACCCCCGGACCCCGAAUUCCCGGAUCCCAAACUCCCGGAUCCCAAAUCCCAAACCCCGGAUCCCAAACCCCCGGAUCCCAAACCCCGGAUCCCAAA